rnacentral:rRNA from 1 species
ACUCCUACGGGAGGCAGCAGUGGGGAAUCUUGCGCAAUGGGCGGAAGCCUGACGCAGCAACGCCGCGUGUGGGAAGACGGCCUUCGGGUUGUAAACCACUUUCAGGGGGGACGAAGCCACUCAGGUUAAUAGCCGAGAGGGUGACGGUACCCCAGCAAGAAGCCAGGCCGUAACUACGUGCCAGCAGCCGCGGUAAUACGUAGGGGCGAGCGUUGUCCGGAAUCAUUGGGCGUAAAGCGCGUGUAGGCGGCUUGGUCAGUUUGGUGUGAAAUCCCGGGGCUCAACCCCGGAACUGCACUGAAUACUGCCUCGCUAGAGUCCGGGAGAGGAGUUGGGAAUUCCCAGUGUAGCGGUGAAAUGCGCAGAUAUUGGGAAGAACACCAAUGGCGAAGGCACAACUCUGGAACGGUACUGACGCUGAGACGCGAAAGCGUGGGGAGCAAACAGGAUUAGAUACCCUGUAGGCUCUG